rnacentral:tRNA from 1 species
CCCCUGGUGGUCCAGUGGUUAAGACUCCUGCCCCUAAUGUAGGAGGCAUGGGUUCGAUCUCUGUUCAAGGAA